UCCGUCCUAGCUCAGUUGGUAAAGAAUCUGCCUGAAAUGCAGGAGACCCAGGUUCAAUCCCUGGGUUGGAA
rnacentral:tRNA from 1 species